rnacentral:rRNA from 1 species
CCUACGGGAGGCAGCAGUGGGGAAUUUUGGACAAUGGGGGCAACCCUGAUCCAGCCAUGCCGCGUGUGUGAAGAAGGCCUUCGGGUUGUAAAGCACUUUCGGACGGAACGAAAUCGCGCGGGUUAACAGCCCGCGUGGAUGACGGUACCGUAAGAAGAAGCACCGGCUAACUACGUGCCAGCAGCCGCGGUAAUACGUAGGGUGCGAGCGUUAAUCGGAAUUACUGGGCGUAAAGGGUGCGCAGGCGGCCCCGCAAGUCAGGCGUGAAAUCCCCGGGCUCAACUUGGGAAUGGCGCUUGAAACUACGGGGCUGGAGUGUGGCAGAGGGAGGUGGAAUUCCACGUGUAGCGGUGAAAUGCGUAGAGAUGUGGAGGAACACCGAUGGCGAAGGCAGCCUCCUGGGCCAACACUGACGCUCAUGCACGAAAGCGUGGGGAGCAAACAGGAUUAGAUACCCUGGUAGUCCACGCCCUAAACGAUGACGACUAGUUGUUGGGAGAGUUAAAUCUCUUAGUAACGCAGCUAACGCGCGAAGUCGUCCGCCUGGGGAGUACGGUCGCAAGAUUAAAACUCAAAGGAAUUGACGG